rnacentral:rRNA from 1 species
CCUACGGGCGGCAGCAGUGAGGAAUAUUGGUCAAUGGCCGAGAGGCUGAACCAGCCAAGUCGCGUGAGGGAAGACGGCCCUACGGGUUGUAAACCUCUUUUGUCGGGGAGUAAAGCGAGUCACGUGUGACUCAUUGAGAGUACUCGAAGAAAAAGCAUCGGCUAACUCCGUGCCAGCAGCCGCGGUAAUACGGAGGAUGCGAGCGUUAUCCGGAUUUAUUGGGUUUAAAGGGUGCGCAGGUGGGUGGUCAAGUCAGCGGUCAAAGUUCGGGGCUCAACCCUAAAAUGGCAAUUGAUACUGGCAGUAUUGAGUGCAGUGGAGGUAGGCGGAAUGCGUGGUGUAGCGGGGAAAUGCUUAGAUAUCACGAAGAACCCCGAUUGCGAAGGCAGCUUACGAAACUGUGACUGACAUUGAUGCUCGAAAGCGUGGGUAUCAAACAGGAUUAGAUACCCGGGUAGUC